rnacentral:rRNA from 1 species
CCUACGGGAGGCAGCAGUGAGGAAUAUUGGUCAAUGGGCGUAAGCCUGAACCAGCAAAGUCGCGUGAGGGAUGAAGGCUCUAGGGAUCGUAAACCUCUUUUAUAAGGGAAUAAAGUGAGGGACGUGUACCGUUUUGUAUGUACCUUAUGAAUAAGGAUCGGCUAACUCCGUGCAAGCAGCCGCGGUAAUACGGAGGAUCCGAGCGUUAUCCGGAUUUAUUGGGUGUAAAGGGUGCGUAGGCGGGCUUUUAAGUCAGCGGUGAAAGUCGGUGGCUCAACCAUAGAAUUGUCGUUGAACCUGGUAGGCUUGAGUAUGUGUGAGGCAGGCGGAAUGCGUGGUGUAGCGGUGAAAUGCGUAGAUAUCACGCAGAACCCCGAUGGCGAAGGCAGCCUGCUAAGCCAUGACUGACGCUGAUGCACGAAAGCGUGGGGAUCAAACAGGAUUAGAUACCCUGGUAGUC